CGGAACUGUUUUCCUGAUUGUUCAGGUGAGAUCUCGAUUGUGAACGUUUCCUUUUUGUCGGUGAUUGGAGGAUGAUUCUGCUUCUUCCUAGAUCCGGAGAAACUGAGAACUCUCUUUACCCUAUCUUUUUAUGAAACUUCUCCUAUUCUUCAACUAUUGAUCUUAUGUAUAGAGAUUUACCUACGGUUCUGCUUGUUGAACAUGGCUUUUCUUUUACGGGACUGUUUUUCUGAUUAUUCAGGCGAGAUUUAGAUUGUGAACGCUUGCUUUCUGUUGGUGAUUGGAGGAUGAAUUCUGCUUUUGCCUAGAUCCGAAGAAACCGAGAACACUACCCUUGCUCCCCCCUAAAACUUCUAUUCUUCGACUGUUCUUAUCAUUAUUAUUGUAGAGGGAUUUAGCUUCGGUUUUGCUUUGUUUGCAGUGUAUUUUGGGAGGUUGGAGAUUUGUAGAUCGGAUAUAUUGGAAAGAAUUUUCUGCAAUUUUCGACAUGGACGAUUAGAUAUCUAAUUCCUUAAAACAGAACAGAUUCUCUACUUUUACCCUUUUUUAAAUUCAAUUAUAAAUCAUGCAUGUGAAUUAAAAUGUGAAUCUAUAUUCUAUGCAGCGGUGUCCAUCUUGAAGCGUGGUUGUUUUGAGUGCGACACAUACAGAGGAUAGAGAUCAAGAACAGUUUUUCUAAACUUUCUUUCCCUGCAUUUUUUUCCCAACUUACUUGUGGCAGCAUUGCGAGUUAAAUCUGGAUGUGUUUCCUAUGCAGUGUUGUCUGAUCUUGUUACCGCGGGUGUUGAGUGCAUCCUGGUCGAUAUGUUUCUUGCACUUGCCUGGUUCAUUUGUUUAAGUUUUGCUUCCUUUUUUUUUUUAUUUAAAUUAUUGGCUGCUUUGGUUCUUUGUUGUUUCCUCCAUAAUUCUGUCUCUUGGAAAUCGGUUUAUGUUUCUCUUUUUUGCCUUAGGAGCCAAUUGAAGGAUAUGGGAUUGCACUUAGGCGAUGUGUCCAAGAUUCCGAAAUUGAUAAUUCCCUCCUAACAUGUGCACCAAUAUUUUUUAGUAUUAAAUAAUAGUUGGAUUACGGAGUUAUCUUGUUAAUGUCCUGCAAUGCUUUAAAUUGGUUGCAGAAAUCUGGAAUCAUGGAUAGAAGAUAUAUGGCAGGAAGGCUCAAAAUAAUACAGGCUCAUAAUCUGAUUAACUUUUCUUUUUUAACUAUAUUGCGUUAAUGGUCGUGCAAAAUUAAAUCUGAACUUGUUCUCUGGCAGUGUUUUUGUUUUGGUCAAGUAAUGUUGUGUAGCUGGUGACUUUGUACCUGGAGUUUGGACGCACUGGAUCUGUUGUCUCUUGGUUUUUUAUUUUUUUGCUAGCUCAUAUGCAUAAGUAAUCCAGAUAUCAAUUGAAUUUCGUCUGUUCAUUUGCAGUGUUGUCUUCCAAUCAUACUUUUGGCAACGGCAUUCAUGUAUAAUGGUGACUUCUAACUGAGUUUAGUGUUCUCUGUGUCUGUUCCUGUGCAUUUCAUUUCUUUGAUGUUCUUUAUAUUGCUUGGGGAGGAGUGUUCCUUGAUCUGUUUUUCCUGUGAAUUUCUAUCUAGUUUAUAGAACUAUUCUUGGAUUUGUGGAUUUUGGAUUUACUUAGCUGCUGAUCAAGAUGCUUCUUUCUGGAUUCGAUAAUUUUGGGAAUGGUUAUAGUUUCACACAGUUUCGCAGGGAAAUGAACUAGGCGAUGAACAUAUGGACAGGGUGCUAUUCUUGUUUGCUGGAUUGGAAUUGUGAUUUUCUCUCUUCAGGUGUAGCGAAUUAUGUGGAUGAUGAAUGCUCGCUUUUUUGUUGGUGUUUGGAGGAUGAAUUCACUUUUGCCCAGAUCUGAAGAAACUGAGAACUCUCUGAAUCCUUGCUUUUUCUGAAAAUUCUAUGCAGCUGUUCUGUUGAUUGUUAAGGCGACAUUAUCUGGAUUAUGAAUGCUCGCUUUUUGUUGGUGUUUGGAGGAUGAAUUCUACUUUUGCCCAGAUCUGAAGAAACUGAGAACUCUCUGAAUCCUUGCUUUUUCUAAAAAUUCUCCUAUUCUGUACUAUUCUUAUUCCCGGAGAGAUUUAGGUUUGCUUGUUUUUGCUUGGUUUGCAGUGUAUUUGGGAGAUGGGGGAUUAUAGAUCGGAGAUAUUGGAAAGAAUAUUUUGCAAGACCCGAGAGGACCAUAUAUCUAAUUCCAUAAAAGCAAUCUGAUUCUCUAUACAUUUUAUUUCCUUGAUCAUUUAACUAAAUAUUUUAAAGCUUGCAUUGUGAAUUAAAAUGUAGUUUAUUUUCUAUGCAGCAUCGUAGCCUGGUUGUUGAGCACGAUGCAUACAGUGGAUGGAAUCUAGUUUCCUAAAACAGUUUUUCGAAGCUCUUCUUUCCUUUUUGUUCAUUCCAACCUAUUGUGCUAGCAGCAUUUGAAUUAAAUGUCGUUGGUUUCCCGUGCAGUGUUGUCCGAUCAUGGGUGUUCAGUGCAUCCUGGUGAUAUGCUUUUGCACCUGGCUGGUUCAUUUGUUUAAUUUUUGCUUUUUUUAAUUUUAAAUUUGCUACUUUGUGUUGUUUCCUGCGUUAUUCUCUCGCGGUUGGAAAUCGGUUUUUGUUUCUCUUUUCCUUAGGAACCAAUUGAAGGGUAUGGGAUUGCACCAAGACUGUUCAAGAUUCCGAGAUUUAUAUGUCCUUGUUAUAGUUUUUUUUUCUUUCUAUCCCCUAAAUAUUAUAAAAAUAACUAGAUUAUAUAGUUGUUUCACGUUGUUUUAUGACCUCCAAUGCUUUUCAUUGGUUGCAGGGAUUUAGAAUUUUGGAAAAGAUGUGUUUUGGAAAAAAAGCUCUGCAAAAAUAAUACAGGCUCAUGAUCUAGAUUAAACUUGUCUUCUCUACUGAAUUUUUCUUCCAUAUUUAUUUUUUAGCAUUAGUGGUUCGUGCAAAGUUCAAUUUCAACCUGUUUUCUUGCAGUGUUAUGAUCGUUAACAUUGUCCGUGUAAUCGAGUUAGAUGUGGAGUUGGUGACUUCUACCUGGAGUUUGAAUUCCCUGGAUCUUUCCUUUUGUCUCUUAUUUUCUUUCCAUGUAUUUAGUAUGAACAUGUCAAUUCCUGUUCCUUUGCAGUGUCGUCUUCCAAUCGAUACUUUUGACUACCAUAUUCAUUCAUAUGGUGACUUCUACCUAUAGCAGUUUGUGUUUUGUUCAUGAUUUUGACUGAGAGUUUAGAGAAUGAUGAUAGGCCCAACCUGUUGUUCCCUCAUCCUAGUUGUUGACACACUUUCAAGAUAGGACUGUAAGCGUUUAAUGAGCACUUAUUGGUCGUCGUUGACCAUAUAGGCUGACUGUAUCAUAUAUAAUCAAUUUUGCUUUUUAUCGCUUUUUAAUUUUGGCCGAGCACAUAAAAGUUAUUGGAUUCGGUAACAUGAAUUGUAUAGUUGUUUAUGCUUCCAGUUAUCUCUGAGCAGAAUCACACGGUGUAUUGGUUGCGGGGGGUUAUCAGUUCAGUCUCACUAAUAAGGAUAAGAGGAUUUGACUUUAGUUCUUUUUUUGGUGUUGUGUUCUCUUUGGUUGAGGUCUUGGAAUUGAAUUGUGAACAUGCUUUUGUGCAGUUAAACGACUGAGUGUAUUGGAGAUUAACUUUGGGGGUUCAGGAGCAAGAUUCAUAGUUUUCCCAACUCGACUUUGCCAUUUGUUCUCAGGUGUUUUUGUUUGAUCUGGUCUUCCAUCAGUUUGACAAGCUGUUUCUUUCAUUUAUUUUCAGCUUCCUGCAUACACGUUUGCCAUAAUUGGUCACACUACCCGUAAUUGGAGAAUUUUGCUUGAACGCUGUGAGGGGGCUGAAUUAUGUUAAAACUGUUGUAGAUUGUUGUGCUGGCCUUGAACUGUUCUUGCAUGCGAAGUAUUGAAGGAUUUUCUGUUAUUAGGUUUUAACGUGUCUUGAUUUUACUUAACUACUAAGGGAAACUGUAACCAUGAUGUCUUUGAUUUCACUUUCUAUUGGGCAAAUUGCAACUAUGAUUUUGUUUUUUGUGCAUAACUAGAAACUUCUUUUCUGUUCAUCUCUUUCAAUCUUCCAUGUUGAGUACCAUGUGUUUGGCAGCAUCUGGAAAUUGUAAGUCGAGUUUGAAAUAUUGAAGGACCUCUUCUUGGAUGGUUUAACUAGGAUUUUGUACCUAAAUGAGUGACUUCUGAAUGGUUUUCAAAUUUUCGUCCUAUAGUUUUUAAAGCUUCUCCUUGUCUGGAUUUUCAACUUAAUCUUGUCGUUUGUUUUACGUACGCAUAACUGGUGACUGGUUUUUCUGGAUCUUCACCUUAAUCUCUCUUGUUUUUCUACAGUUCAGUGUCUUAUGUUUGGCAGGAGCUAGGAUUUGCAAUUGGACUUUCUAUGGGUUUUAAACCUAAACAUCACUUUGGUGUACUGAAGGAUUUAAGUAUAAUUGUCUGGUUUUUAAAGCUGCUGCUUCUUUGUUUGGAUUUUCAAAAUUUUUCUCUUCCGUUUGGCAGGAUAAGGGAUUUGUAAUUGGACUUUGGGUGUUAAGGAUGCAAGUAUAACUGAUGACUUUUAACUGGUUAUUAAAUUUUUUCUUUUGUGGAUUUUCACCAUGGUCUCUUCCAUUCUUCUAUGGUUCAGUGUCUUAUGUUUGGCAGGAACUGGGGUUCAAUUUGGAGUAUCGAAGGAUUUAAGUAUAACCGGGACUGAUUUUUAAAGCUUCUUUGUUUGGAUCUUCAACUUAAUUUUUCUUUUCCGUUUUUCUACGUUUGGCUUUCAUAUUCAGCAGGUUUAGGGAUUUGUAAUUGAAUUGUAAGUUUCCUCCUCCGAUCUUCUACGUUUGGCUAAUAUAUUCAGCAGUAUCUGGGAUCUGUAAAUGGAUUUUGGUCUUGAAGGACCCAAGUAUAACUGGUGACUUUUAACUGGUUAUUAUAAAUUUUCUGUAUUUUCACCUUAAUCUUGUCCAUUCUUCUAGUUCUAUUUGGCAGGGGCUGGGAUUUGCAUUUGGAUUUUAAAUGUUUCCUAUGGGUUUUAAAUAUUCAGCUCACCACCUCACUUCCUUCUGUGGUUUUAAAUACCAUCACAACUGGUGACUUCAGCAGGUUUAGGGAUUUGUAAUUGAAUUGGAAUUUUCCUCUUCCGAUCUUCUACGUUUGGCUAAUAUAUUCAUCAGUGUAUCAUAAACAAAAGAAUACACUAGAACCACUCACAUCUAUUCUACUCUUCUACAUCUGUGAAUCGCCCCUUUUCUGCUUAUUGAUUGCAUGUUGGUUUUCGUCUGGAUUACUUUUACAUUUAUUUUCAAUGCAGGAUCUUAAGGUGGUCAGAUAUACCCGGUUAGACAUGGUUAUUUGUUUCGUGUUAUGAUUUUAUGCUUCUUAGUUUGAAGAUAUCUUUUCAGUUCUUUAUGUGAUUUGUCAAGUUAGUAGAAUUCUUUGUGAAAAUUCCUCUAAAAUUUAUAAUAUAGGUUAGCACGGUAAGCAACUGAAGUUUGAAAUGGAAAUGAUGCUCUUAUUCAUCUAUAUUAAUUGUCCUCGUCGGGGGACUUGAUUGCCUCUUAACUUUGCAUGCAAUUUUGUUGUAGCCUCGGGUGAAUUUUGGUGAGGGGAUCUUUUACUAGGGAUUUGGAUAUUACCGUGGUAGCAAAGGGUUUAGGAAUUUUUUGUUAUUUUAAUUCAUGAUGAAUUACGAAGGUUUUUUAAUUGAGGUUUACUAUCAUUUUGCGAACUUGCUUUUGUGCAGUUCGCGGAUCCCAUUUUUGGCUGAUUUCUAUCUUGGGGGAACGAAGAUCACAAUGGCAUUCAGGAGUUGGUAGCUGUUUCUGAAAUCUGAACUUUUCUGAUAUGCCUCUUGUAUUUUUGUCGUUUGGGAGAAUUGUGGACCAACUUCUGUGCUGUUCAAGCGAGUGCUCCGAGAGAAGGGUAUUCAAGGAAAGGUUGGGGUGAUUGGUGAUUCUACAGCAGUUAUGGACGCAGGAUAAUUGGUUUUAAUUCUUUGAUUCUUGUCUCUCGUCUCGCAUCUAUAUUGUUAUUUGAUAUCUGUAGGCUGUUGGUGAAGAUACUUUCCAUCUGCAAAUGUAGUGGUUGCUGUAGUAUGCCAUGGUUCAAGUGCAACCAUCAUCUCUCUAGCAGAAGCAGUAAAAGCAGAACGAUGUUUUUAAGAUCUGCAUUUUCUGCUGACGUGUUUUUCACUUCCGUCUUGGAAAGCUGUUUCAUAUUUUUUGUGGAUUUGUUUAUGAAAUUUGUUUUACUGGCCUUGUAAAUAGCGCUUCUGUGUGUUUAUUCUUAAUUUCUGACACACUACAGAAUGGUUGGUUCUAUUGGGGGGUGGUUCCAGGUCAACUUCUUUGAAGUUGCAUUCUUGUGCAGUUAUCUCUCGCAGCUUUGCAGUAAAUUUUAUGUAUAUCUUCUAUUCCAA